CAGUCGCCGCGGUAAUACGGAGGAUCCAAGCGUUAUCCGGAAUCAUUGGGUUUAAAGGGUCCGUAGGCGGUCUUGUAAGUCAGUGGUGAAAGCCCAUCGCUCAACGGUGGAACGGCCAUUGAUACUGCAGGACUUGAAUUAUUGGGAAGUAACUAGAAUAUGUAGUGUAGCGGUGAAAUGCUUAGAGAUUACAUGGAAUACCAAUUGCGAAGGCAGGUUACUACCAAUUGAUUGACGCUGAUGGACGAAAGCGUGGGUAGCGAACAGGAUUAGAGACCCCUGUAGUCCCUGUCUCUUAUAU
rnacentral:rRNA from 1 species